AUUGAACGCUGGCGGCAGGCCUAACACAUGCAAGUCGAGCGAGCGGCGGACGGGUGAGUAAUGUAUGGGGACUGCCCGAUAGAGGGGGAUAACUACUGGAAACGGUAGCUAAUACCGCAUACUAUAGGAUAACCCCUAUGGGAUUAGCUAAUAGGUGAGGUAAUGGCUCACCUAGGCGACGAUCCCUAGCUGGUCUGAGAGGAUGAUCAGCCUCACUGGGACGUCGACACGGCCCAGACUCCUACGGAGGCAGCAGUGGGGAAUAGUGCACAAUGGGCGCAAGCCUGAUGCAGCCAUGCCGCGUGUAUGAAGAAGGCCCUAGGGGUGUAAAGUACUUUCAGUCGGGAGGCGUUACCGACAGAAGAAGCACCGGCUAACUCCGUGCCAGCCGCCGCGGUAAUAC
rnacentral:rRNA from 1 species